AUUGAACGCUGGCGGCAGGCUUAACACAUGCAAGUCGAGCGGAGAGAAGUAGCUUGCUACUGAUCUUAGCGGCGGACGGGUGAGUAAUGCUUAGGAAUCUGCCUAUUAGUGGGGGACAACAUUUCGAAAGGAAUGCUAAUACCGCAUACGUCCUACGGGAGAAAGCAGGGGAUCUUCGGACCUUGCGCUAAUAGAUGAGCCUAAGUCGGAUUAGCUAGUUGGUGGGGUAAAGGCCUACCAAGGCGACGAUCUGUAGCGGGUCUGAGAGGAUGAUCCGCCACACUGGGACUGGGACACGGCCCAGACUCCUACGGGAGGCAGCAGUGGGGAAUAUUGGACAAUGGGCGGAAGCCUGAUCCAGCCAUGCCGUGUGUGUGAAGAAGGCCUUAUGGUUGUAAAGCACUUUAAGCGAGGAGGAGGCUACUUUAGUUAAUACCUAAAGAUAGUGGACGUUACUCGCAGAAUAAGCACCGGCUAACUCUGUGCCAGCCGCCGCAGUAAUAC
rnacentral:rRNA from 1 species